AGUUGGCUGUGUGCCCGCGGAGGAGACGGCGGCUGUGACUGGUUGUCUUUCCCGUGUCCCCUGGCACUGUGCGUCUUCCUGCCACAAACCCACUCCCAUGGCUUGUCAGCCAGCCAGGCAGUGCCCAGCGGGCUCUGAGCCUUGGUGCCAGCGAUGGCUGUUCCUGGCACUGCUGGCAGCAUGCACACAGCUCCACGGCUGUUGUCAGCGCAAUGGUCUGGGGACAUGCACAGAAGGAUUUUUCUAGAGUUCCUGGGUGACUGCACUGCUUUGGGACCUGCAGCUCCUCACAGGGUUGGGAGAGCUUCCCUUGUCUUGCUGGUCUUUGCGACUCCCCCCCCCCCCAAUCUGGGCAUCCACGGCUGUCCCUGUGCUGGCACACCUGUGUCGGCACACCCGUGUCCAUUCUCUGCAGAGCGGCGUUCUCUCUUGCUGACGGUACUUCUCAGGGAUUUCUCUAUCCACACAGCUCGAGGUGAGGUGGAGGCAGAUCUUAACACGUUCUUAGCGCGUGUGUAAAUUAUGACACGCUGGGCAGCAUUUCCAAGACGACGCUGGGGCGGGGCUUGCUCAGUGCCACGGCCUUGGGGGCGGAGCCCGGCCCUGCCCUUCCACGUGACUGGCCGUGACUCCGGGCGGACUCUGAAGGCCGUGUGCAGCGCGCGCUGUCCCUCCUCACGCGGGUGAAGGGCGUGUCCGUGGCACACGCACAGGCCCACGGCAGACCUGGGACUUCUCAACCCGCCGACAGCACGGCCCAGCGCGGCUCAGCUCCCCGUCUCGGGCGCUCCUGAGUCGGGGUUCCAUCUGUGCUCUAAGAAACCAACUCCAGGGAAGGCCGCAUCUCCUGUUGUGCCCAGACAGCCCCAGCGGCAGUUUGCGGGUAUUAGAUCCACUUUUGAGGAGACUCCGUUGAGGACACUGUACCCCACAAAGACCUCUCUCUGGUAACUGAGGAGUCUUGGGAUUCCCUAAGGAGUUAAGAGUCCUGGGUCCCAUUUCCAGGAGCGCAGCCGAUCUGACUGGGGUUUUCAUGUUCUAACGUAGCUGUGUGGCGGCGCUGCCUGGGUGUGCACAGGCCAGUGCUUCUCACACAGGGGCUUUGCGAGGUGUGGAGAGGGCAGACCCGGGCAUGGGGCCUCGCGCCCGCCCGUUACCAUGGUAGACGCUGUUUUCUGAAUGUAGAGCUUUGUCUUGUAUAAAGAUCCAGGAAGCUUCUGGAUGCUCUCAAGCUGUUGAAUAUGAACAGAACUGUGCAGAUUUCUGAGUGGAUUUUUUUUUGAGGUGAGCAUUUUGUUACAGCUUAUAAAAGACACUUUUCUAUUUAGACCUCAGGGCUAUCUUGGGACCUUGGAAUGAUUGCACCCGCAGCAGCUUCAAUUCUUGAUAUUCACAAGGUUCUUAAUCUUUCAGUGAAAUGUGACACUUUCCGGCAGAAAGAAUGUGUUUUCCCUUUGAACUUCCAACAACACCCAGCUUGUGUCAUGUUUUAAAUGAAAUUAAAAAAUGAUGUAAAGACACAAGGAAAUUAAUGCUGAAAUAAUUAAGCACCACUUGAAAAAUAAAUGUUUUCAUGCUACA